rnacentral:rRNA from 1 species
AUUGAACGCUGGCGGCAGGCCUAACACAUGCAAGUCGAACGGUAGCACAGAGAGCUUGCUCUCGGGUGACGAGUGGCGGACGGGUGAGUAACGUCUGGGAAACUGCCCGAUGGAGGGGGAUAACUACUGGAAACGGUAGCUAAUACCGCAUAACGCCGCAAGACCAAAGAGGGGGACCUUCGGGCCUCACACCACCGGAUGUGCCCAGAUGGGAUUAGCUAGUAGGUGGGGUAAUGGCUCACCUAGGCGACGAUCCCUAGCUGGUCUGAGAGGAUGACCAGCCACACUGGAACUGAGACACGGUCCAGACUCCUACGGGAGGCAGCAGUGGGGAAUAUUGCACAAUGGGCGCAAGCCUGAUGCAGCCAUGCCGCGUGUAUGAAGAAGGCCUUCGGGUUGUAAAGUACUUUCAGCGGGGAGGAAGGCGGUGAAGUUAAUAGCUUCACCGAUUGACGUUACCCGCAGAAGAAGCACCGGCUAACUCCGUGCCAGCCGCCGCGGUAA